rnacentral:lncRNA from 1 species
AGGUGACACGACUAGAAAUCAAGAGUUUCUUCCCUAUCACCAUGGAGAAUUACAUGCUGUAAGAUGCAAAGACACAAUCGUGGGAGGAAAAUUUGAGGUCGUCGCACACUGGGAAACGCAGCUAUAGCCAAGCAGAGCCCAAUGUAAACUUCAAGAGGAGCUUUGCAAACCGAAUGAGACAGCCAAACAUUUGAUGAAUUCGUCAUCUCUACGACAGACCUUCCUCCCUCUACCCUUCUUUAUCUACAGAGCAGAGUGGAGAACCCACUUCAGCAUCUUUACUUGGGCAAAUAUUUACGGUGAACUGAGUAUUUCUCAAGGUGUGGCUCACUGAUCCAGGAAGCCUCUUACACUUGCUUACGAUUGCGUGCCACUGUUUUAAGCAAACACAGACUCCUGCUCCUCAUGGCAAACAAGAAACUUAUUCCACCAGGAGGGAGUAUAAAAAAAAAGGGACUAAUUUACUUUUUGGAAAAUGCAUAGUAACUCCCCAGUCCCCCCAUCUCAUUAGACUGCCCCCCCC